GUUUUUUAUGCCUCUUCUCACCUUGAGGAAGAUAUCAAUGGCGCGAUACAGGUCGUCGUCCACCUUUCUGGCGUCCUUGGGCACUAGAUUAGCGAUGCCGUUGAAUUUGCAUAUGCUGAGCUCUCCGUGCGCGGCAAUCUCCCCUAGGUACGCGUCUACAGUCUUGGCGACUCUCUGCAUCGCGGUGGAACAAACCUCCUGGAAAUCUCCACCGUUGAAGACAGCCACGCUCUUCUCCUUCUCCACGAAUCCUGAUAUAAUUCUUCUAACGCUGUCCAGGUCGAAGAGCCUCUCGCCGUCGUAGGUGAACGACAGGACCAAGAGAUCGUCGACGGUUACGUGCUCUAAGAUCGUCGAGAUCCGUUUCUCGAGCUCGUUCUUACAAGUAUGGGCUACUUUUAAGAAGAUCGCGGAGCGAAGAAGACAGCAGAGGAAGUUUAUAGGGAGCGCUGCUCUCUCGGAGGGUAAGAGU
rnacentral:lncRNA from 1 species